rnacentral:rRNA from 1 species
UAUGGAGGAUCCGAGCGUUAUCCGGAUUUAUUGGGUUUAAAGGGAGCGUAGGUGGAUUGUUAAGUCAGUUGUGAAAGUUUGCGGCUCAACCGUAAAAUUGCAGUUGAAACUGGCAGUCUUGAGUACAGUAGAGGUGGGCGGAAUUCGUGGUGUAGCGGUGAAAUGCUUAGAUAUCACGAAGAACUCCGAUUGCGAAGGCAGCUCACUGGACUGCAACUGACACUGAGGCUCGAAAGUGUGGGUAUCAAA